CAUCAUAAAUCGCAUCUCAAAAGCAAAAUUAUACUUUGGUGCGAACUAUGUGAACUCUCCCAAAUUGUCCCUUAGGAACUAAAGUUAGCAUAAACAAUUGGGUCAAAAGUCCAAUUGGUAUGAGUUGUUUGUCCAAAUUCAUACUCGCGAUCAUGAUAAGGAGAGAUUUGUGGAUGAAAAGUCCAUGCAAAUAAAUAGGAAGUGGUAGUGGCCAAAAGGGAGGAGUUCCAACAAACUACACCAGAUACUAUCGAUGAGAAUCAAAUUUAUUUGGAUGUUGUUAGGGUCAACCAGAAGAGACGGAUGGUGUAUGGGCUUGAAUUAGAAUCAUCUGUCGUUUACCCUCCACAUGGAGCAUCUUCUUCUGGGGUGUAUUCAUCACAUGAUUCUCAUUUUGUUGUUUACAACAAGAAUUAGAACAGUUAAAGAAGCAACUUGAAGAAGAGAAGCAAUAGAGGAAAGUAGAGAAGCAAACUAUCACAGAGUAAUUUGAGAUGCGUUUGGAAGACAUGAGACACUCAAUGAUGGAGGAGAUGAUGAGAUUAGCCAAAAGCUUGCUAAUGCCUCCACCUACAACUUCGCCUCACCUCCGCUUAGCUGGGAUUGAUGGUUUUGUAUUUUAAUUUUAACUUAUUAAACUUUAGUAUUUUUAUUUUACUGGAGUUCAUAAUUAUUUUAUCAGAGUAUUAUUAUUAAUAAUAUUAUUGGAUUAUUA
rnacentral:misc_RNA from 1 species